rnacentral:rRNA from 1 species
CACAUGACUCUCGGCAACGGAUAUCUUGGCUCUCGCAUCGAUGAAGAACGUAGCAAAAUGCGAUACCUGGUGUGAAUUGCAGAAUCCCGUGAACCAUCGAGUUUUUGAACGCAAGUUGCGCCCGAGGCCUUUUGGCCGAGGGCACGUCUGCCUGGGCGUCACGC